AUGAACGCUGGCGGCGUGCCUAAUACAUGCAAGUCGCGCGAACGGACGAGAAGCUUGCUUCUCUGAUGUUAGCGGCGGACGGGUGAGUAACACGUGGAUAACCUACCUAUAAGACUGGGAUAACUUCGGGAAACCGGAGCUAAUACCGGAUAAUAUUUUGAACCGCAUGGUUCAAAAGUGAAAGACGGUCUUGCUGUCACUUAUAGAUGGAUCCGCGCUGCAUUAGCUAGUUGGUAAGGUAACGGCUUACCAAGGCAACGAUGCAUAGCCGACCUGAGAGGGUGAUCGGCCACACUGGAACUGAGACACGGUCCAGGCUCCUACGGGAGGCAGCAGUAGGGAAUCUUCCGCAAUGGGCGAAAGCCUGACGGAGCAACGCCGCGUGAGUGAUGAAGGUCUUCGGAUCGUAAAACUCUGUUAUUAGGGAAGAACAUAUGUGUAAGUAACUGUGCACAUCUUGACGGUACCUAAUCAGAAAGCCACGGCUAACUACGUG
rnacentral:rRNA from 1 species